AGAAAAAAAACCGAGCCAGGAUCAAUUUGAUAUGCGCAUGAGAGGAUGUAGCAAUAUGGCGACAUCAAUCACGUGAGUGGAAGCGAAAAGGAUAUAUUCGAAAUUCGAAUUGGGCUAAUUCGAACAUGUUGUCUCGCUUGCACUAGGAUGCGUUUUAGUGGAUUUUUUGCCACUUGAAUUUUAUUUUGAUGCAGGUCGGACGUGCAUGGUCAGUGUAGUGUUUCUCCAAGUUGAAAAAAACAGAUUGUUGUUUUACUUUCCAAAGGCUCAAAUAUAUAAACGAUAGCGACUUGCUGCAUAUAUUCCCAAAAAGAGAGCAGUGCGGGAUUCUGGAUAU